GAUGAACGCUGGCGGUAUGCUUAACACAUGCAAGUCGUACGAGAGUUUUUAACUCUAGUGGCGAACGGGUGAGUAAUACGUGAGAAUCUGCCCUUAGGAGGAGAAUAACUGCUGGAAACGGCAGCUAAGUCUCCAUAUGCCGAGAGGUGAAGUAGUUUACACUGCCUAAGGAUGAGCUCGCGCCUGAUUAGCUUGUUGGUGAGGUAACGGCUUACCAAGGCCACGAUCAGUAGCUGGUUUGAGAGAACGAUCAGCCACACUGGGACUGAGACACGGCCCAGACUCCUCCGGGAGGCAGCAGUGAGGAAUUUUCCGCAAUGGGCGAAAGCCUGACGGAGCAAUACCGCGUGAGGGAUGAAGGAUUUUGGUCUGUAAACCUCUUUUCUCAAGAAAGAAGUUCUGACGGUACUUGAGGAAUAAGCAUCGGCUAACUCCGUGCCAGCAGCCGCGGUAAUACGGGGGAUGCAAGCGUUAUCCGGAAUCAUUGGGCGUAAAGCGCCUGUAGGUUGUUUAAUAAGUCCGUUGUUAAAGACUAGGGCUUAACCCUAGGAAAGCGAUGGAAACUGAUAGACUUGAGUAUGGCAGGGGUAGAGGGAAUUUCUAGUGUAGCGGUGAAAUGCGUAGAUAUUAGAAAGAACACCGGUGGCGAAAGCGCUCUACUGGACCAUUACUGACACUGAGAGGCGAAAGCUAGGGGAGCGAAAGGGAUUAGAUACCCCUGUAGUCCUAGCCGUAAACGAUGGAUACUAGAUGUUGUGUAAUUUGGACAGUAUCGUAGCUAACGCGUUAAGUAUCCCGCCUGGGGAGUACGCUCGCAAGGGUGAAACUCAAAGGAAUUGACGGGGGCCCGCACAAGUAGUGGAGCAUGUGGUUUAAUUCGAAGAUACGCGCAGAACCUUACCAACACUUGACAUGUUCGUCGCGACUUUAAGAGAUUAAAGUUUUCGGUUCGGCCGGACGAAACACAGGUGCUGCAUGGCUGUCGUCAGCUCGUGUCGUGAGAUGUUGGGUUAAGUCCCGCAACGAGCGCAACCCUCACUUUUAGUUGCCAUCAUUCAGUUGGGCACUCUGAAAGAACUGCCAGUGAUAAGCUGGAGGAAGGUGGGGAUGACGUCAAGUCCUCAUGGCCCUUACGUGUUGGGCUACACACGUGCUACAAUGGCAUUUACAAUAGGAAGCAAGAUGGCGACAUCGAGCAAAUCCUAAAAAGAUGCCUCAGUUCGGAUUGUACUCUGCAACUCGAGUACAUGAAGCUGGAAUUACUAGUAAUCGCGGAUCAGCGCGCCGCGGUGAAUACGUUCCCGGGUCUU
rnacentral:rRNA from 1 species